rnacentral:rRNA from 1 species
UACGAAGGGGGCUAGCGUUGCUCGGAAUGACUGGGCGUAAAGGGCGCGUAGGCGGCUUGGCAAGUCGGGUGUGAACCUCCAAGCUCAACCUGGAGACGCCACUCGAUACUGCUAUGGCUAGAGUCCGGUAGGGGACCACGGAAUUCCUGGUGUAGCGGUGAAAUGCGCAGAUAUCAGGAAGAACACCCGUGGCGAAGGCGGCUCUCUGGUACGUGACUGACGCUGAGACGCGAAAGCGUGGGGAGCAAACAGG